GACGAACGCUGGCGGCGCGCUUAACACAUGCAAGUCGAACGGAAAGGCCUGCUUUCCCUUGUGGAUUGCGGGUACUCGAGUGGCGAACGGGUGAGUAACACGUGAGUGAUCUGCCCUCAACUUGGGUAUAAGCCUGGGAAACUGGGUCUAAUUCUCGAUAGGACUGCAGGGUGGUGCCUGUGGUGGAAAACGAUUUUCUAGUGGUUGGGGAUGAGCUCGCGGCUUAUCAGCUUGUUGGUGGGGUAAUGGCCUACCAAGGCGGCGACGGGUAGCCGGCCUGGGAGGGUGGACGGCCACAUUGGGACUGGGAUACGGCCCAGACGCCUACGGGAGGCAGCAGUGGGGAAGAUUGCACAAUGAGCGGAAGCCUGAUGCAGCGACGCCGCGUGGGGGAUGACGGCCUUCGGGUUGUAAGCUCCUUGCGACCGCGAGGAAGCCACCUGGUUGGAAGGGUGGUGACGGUAGUGGUAGAAGAAGCACCGGCUAACUACGUG
rnacentral:rRNA from 1 species